UGAUCUGAUUUUGGCUCUCUAAGUUGAAGUUUAUGCUUCAUACCUGAGAGUAAAUCGGAUCAUAGCUUGCGGGGACCUUUUGUGUCGUUUGAUUUCCGUGAUCCCUCUAGCUUUGCUUGGUUGUUGUUCAAGACUUCUAAGCACCCUCAAGUACAAUAGUUGAUGAUAUUUGAUGAUGAUAUUGGUCAAAUGACUGCUGCAAUACCGAACAUCGUUGCUCAAUGUAACCAAGCUCUCAACAACAAUAAUGCCCCCUGCAACUUCAUGACGUUCAACUCAGCUAAGCCUUCAAAGUUUUCUGGAUCUCAAGGAGCGACUGCACUUCUGCAAUGGUUCGAGAGUCUAGAGAGCACCUUCAGACAUGUUCAAUGCCCAAACGAGCGAAAGGUAGACUUCGCUUCUAGUGUCUUUGAGAAGCGAGCUUUGACGUGGUGGAACGGUGUGAUGAGAGAUAGG
rnacentral:lncRNA from 1 species